UACGGAGGGGGCACGCGUUAUUCGGAAUCAUUGGGCGUAAAGGGCGCGUAGGCGGCUUGGCAAGUCAAAGGUGAAAUCCCUCGGCCCAACCGAGGAACUGCCUUUGAUACUGCCUAGCUCGAGGCCGGGAGAGGGUAGCGGAAUUCCCAGUGUAGCGGUGAAAUGCGUAGAUAUUGGGAGGAACACCAGUGGCGAAGGCGGCUACCUGGACCGGUUCUGACGCUGAUGCGCGAAAGCGUGGGGAGCAAACAGG
rnacentral:rRNA from 1 species